UACGAAGGGGGCUAGCGUUGUUCGGAAUUACUGGGCGUAAAGCGCGCGUAGGCGGUUUUGCAAGCCAGAGGUGAAAUGCCUGAGCUCAACUUAGGAAUUGCCUUUGGGACUGCGAGGCUUUGAGGACUGGAGAGGUGAGUGGAAUUCCCAGUGUAGAGGUGAAAUUCGUAGAUAUUGGGAAGAACACCGGUGGCGAAGGCGGCUCACUGGCCAGUUUCUGACGCUGCAGCGCGAAAGCGUGGGGA
rnacentral:rRNA from 1 species